UAUAUGUAUGUGUAUAUGUGCAUAUCUGUAUGUGUAUAUAUAUGUGUGUAUAUGU
rnacentral:miRNA from 1 species